rnacentral:lncRNA from 1 species
CGCCUGGAGAAGGCCUGGUGAGUCAAAUGACCCAGGAAAAGUCCCUGUCACACCUAGAAUCUCUAGAAAGCUAUUUCAGAGGAACCAGAACUGCAAGGCCCUAAGGAGACAGCUGAGCACAGAGGAACCGCCUACUGCGUGCAGAGGACAAGCAUCAGGCAUACGUACACCAUGUACAGAAGUGUCACCAGAAGCCUGGGCUCACGUCAAACUAGCCAUGUAGCUGAGGAUGGCCUGAACUCCUUAUUCUCCCGACAACAGCUCCUAAUCAGUUUCAUCAAUUUUUGUUGGGUUUGUCUCACUGAAGAACUUUGAACCGGACCCUAGUGAGCGG